rnacentral:rRNA from 1 species
CAGCAGUGGGAUCCUACGGGGAAGAGCAGUGGGGAAUAUUGGACAAUGGGCGCAAGCCUGAUCCAGCAAUGCCGCGUGAGUGAUGAAGGCCUUCGGGUCGUAAAGCUCUUUUACCAGGGAUGAUAAUGACAGUACCUGGAGAAUAAGCUCCGGCUAACUCCGUGCCAGCAGCCGCGGUAAUACGGAGGGAGCUAGCGUUGUUCGGAAUUACUGGGCGUAAAGCGCACGUAGGCGGCGACACAAGUCAGAGGUGAAAGCCCGGGGCUCAACCCCGGAACUGCCUUUGAAACUAGGUUGCUAGAAUCUUGGAGAGGUCAGUGGAAUUCCGAGUGUAGAGGUGAAAUUCGUAGAUAUUCGGAAGAACACCAGUGGCGAAGGCGACUGACUGGACAAGUAUUGACGCUGAGGUGCGAAAGGCGUGGGGAGCAAACAGGAUUAGAUACCCUGGUAGUCCACGCCGUAAACGAUGAUAACUAGCUGUCCGGGCACUUGGUGUUU